rnacentral:ncRNA from 1 species
AAAAAAGACUUUGCUCCAGAGUCCUGUGCCCUGGCGUGAUGUAGCGUUCAUAGCGACGUCGCUUUUUGAUCCUUCGGUGUCGGCUCUUCCUAUCAUUGUGAAGUAGAAUUCACUAAGCCUUGGAUUGUUCACCCACUAAUAGGGAACGUGAGCUGUGUUUUGAUCGUCAUGAGACAGGUUAGUUUUAC